UACGUAGGGGGCAAGCGUUGUCCGGAUUUAUUGGGCGUAAAGAGCGUGUAGGCGGCCAAGCAGGUCCGCUGUGAAAACUCGAGGCUCAACCUCGAGACGUCGGUGGAAACCGUUUGGCUAGAGUCCGGAAGAGGAGAGUGGAAUUCCCGGUGUGGCGGUGAAAUGCGCAGAUAUCGGGAAGAACACCCGUGGCGAAGGCGGCUCUCUGGGACGGUACUGACGCUGAGACGCGAAAGCGUGGGGAGCGAACAGG
rnacentral:rRNA from 1 species